ACACUCAACGUACUCGAAGCCGCUAGAUCAGCCAAGGUCAGACGGGUGGUGCUGACUUCCUCUAUAUCAGCCAUGGUUCCAAACCCCAAUUGGGACCCUCAAACCCAAGGACCCUUCAACGAAUCAUCCUGGACAGACCUGGAAUACUGCAAGGCACGACAUAAAUGGUAUCCAGUGUCAAAGACCCUAGCUGAGAAAGCGGCAUGGGAAUAUGCAGAGAAACAUGGACUUGAUGUAGUGGCUAUAAAUCCAGCAACAUGUUUAGGUCCUAUGUUGCAACCCAACUUGAAUGCAAGUUGCGCGGUGCUGCUACAAUUGUUACAAGGCUCUAAAGAUACCCAGGAGUACCACUGGUUAGGGGCAGUCCAUGUUAAAGAUGUUGCCAAAGCACAGAUAUUAUUGUUCCAGUCACCUGUUGCUUCUGGUAGAUAUCUUUGCACUAAUGGUAUCUAUCAGUUCUCUCAGUUUGCUCAAACUGUGUCCAAACUUUUCCCUCAUUAUCCUGUCCACAGGUUUUGUUUUAUUUUGUUUUGUUUUCCCUCUUUAAUUCUUUUUUACCUGUAAUAGUGUUUUUUGCUAGUGUAGUAGUGCAAGUUUUAACAUUGUUGAAACAACAUUUGAACAUUCAGGUUUGCAGAGG
rnacentral:lncRNA from 1 species